ACAGUGGUGGCUCAGUGGUUAGGGUUUUGGGCUGCUGUUCAGAAGGUUGUGAGAUCAAAUCCCAGCUCCACCAAG